AAUAACUAAGAUAUCUGAAUGCUGUACAUAACUUCGAAAGGGAAAAUAUUUUUUUUACAUAUUAAUAUGACGCAAAGACGAUCUUUUCUAUGAUAAACCUCGUCAUUGUUUGAAGAAAUCGGUUUUAGUGUCAUUUUUGCUGUAAACAUGACCGUCACUAGAUUCGCUAUGCAUAGUUAAUAUGUCAAUGUACUUAUGAAUAUGGAGGUAGGAAUAGGCUAACAGACUUACACAGGACCGGUCUGAACUUUUUGACCACCUGAAGCCUAACUAGGUCAGCUGACGUCGAGGUUAAUUGCUAUUCAACAUUCAUAGCAGGAGUCGACGACUGAACUCGUUACGGAAUUGACGAAGACUGAAAAGACUGGAGAGAGACCGUUCGAGGCAGCUCAAAGAGACUUGGGAAAUGCCACAUCAUAUGAGAAGAUCUUCUUCAUUCGUCUUCUUACCAUCUAUCUAGCUAUCUACGCAGACGCGCAGGCUCAACAGAACUGAGAAGGAAGUUAGGUCACACUGGCAGGACUGAGCCUUAAAUAAACCCUGGCGUUGAAUAUGAUCACGGUCUAGAUACUGGACCGUGAAUAUGAUGUACUACGCUGUGGCUACAGUUACGGCAUUCGUAACGCGACUUUCCAAGGCUGUGGUGACGACAGGUAUUUAUGCAGAUGCCCAUGUGUUUUCCGGAAAAAGUGACGUAGAAUGACAGCAUCCCCCUUUCUGCCAAUCAUCGGGGUAGGAGGAGGAGGACGAAUGAUGUUGAAGAAGUUUUUGUAUUUCGCAAAACCCGUUUAAUCGUAUUCACCCCUUUGGUUGCAUUCAAGACUAUCAUUCACUCACUCCCCAGCAAUAUCAAUUGUCAUUUUUUUCUAACUAGAUACAAACUGCCUUCACGUAAGUCAGAAAAAUAUGAAUCGAAUACUUGAAAGAAGAAGGAAUUUUCAUUUGCGGUAUAACAUUAUGGUCUGCGCUAAGCAGAUUAUUUCAGUAUACACAGAAGCUAAUCUCUCGCUGUCUCACGAAGUCACAAAAUAAUAUGUUAAGCGUUCUGUGCCGCUUCUCACUUAAGCCUGCCCUAUUAUUAAGUUUAUUAUACAUCUGAGGCCGUCAUUGCCUGCAUGUAGUAUUAUG